rnacentral:rRNA from 1 species
GUCGAACGGAAACAUGUCUAGCUUGCUAGAUGAUGUCGAGUGGCGGACGGGUGAGUAAUACUUAGGAACAUGCCUUUGGGUGGGGGAUAACUAUUGGAAACGAUAGCUAAUACCGCAUAAUGUCUACGGACCAAAGGGGGGAGCUUGCUCCUCUCGCCCAGAGAGUGGCCUAAGCGAGAUUAGCUUGUUGGUGAGGUAAAGGCUCACCAAGGCGACGAUCUCUAGCUGUUCUGAGAGGAAGAUCAGCCACACUGGGACUGAGACACGGCCCAGACUCCUACGGGAGGCAGCAGUGGGGAAUAUUGCACAAUGGAGGAAACUCUGAUGCAGCCAUGCCGCGUGUGUGAAGAAGGCCUUCGGGUUGUAAAGCACUUUCAGUUGUGAGGAAAGCUUGGUGGUUAAUACCCAUCAGGUAUGACGUUAGCAACAGAAGAAGGACCGGCUAACUCCGUGCCAGCAGCCGCGGUAAUACGGAGGGUCCGAGCGUUAAUCGGAAUUACUGGGCGUAAAGCGCACGCAGGCGGUUUGUUAAGCUAGAUGUGAAAGCCCCGGGCUCAACCUGGGAAUAGCAUUUAGAACUGGCAGACUAGAGU